UCCCCCCGAGGCAGCAGCCAGCUCCCUGCCCGCCCCGCCACCUGCCCCCGGUGCGCGGUUCCCUCCUGCCCCCGGGCACCAACCUCUUAUUUCCCCCCCAAUUCCUUCCUUUCUUUCUUCCCCAUGGAGGUGAAGCUUGCACUGGGGUUUGUGAUUCAGCACUCCCUGCCACUUGAGGAGGUAUUUUUAAACCAGGCAACACUCAGACUGGACUUAGCACCACGACUUGCGCACGCAGGUGGCCUCCAGCCCCACACGCCACACACACCGUUAGGAGCCGCGCUGCCGCUGCUUGCUGCUCUGUGAAAUGCUUAAAGCCAGCUCAAAACCCCAGGCCAGGGGCAGGACUCGCACGGAUUUCAGCAGGCUUUGGACCCUAGACUCUUGGAACGAGUUUCAAAUUCCAGCAGCUUUUUUUGUUUAUCCAAGGGAGAUAAACUAAGUGGCCUGCUGAAUACCCUGUGGGCUUUCAGAUGUGAUCUGGAAAACAACAGGUCUUUGCUCAGAAGGGACGUGAAACGUCCAGUGACACUUUCCAUGAGAACCAAGAUAAAAGAGGACCUUUUCCUUCCCUCCCGAACACCGCUGCCUGACAAGGACUGCCUGGUUCCUGCCUUUCAGCACUGCCACGAAGAGCAAGCGCAGAGCGCCCAGCAGCGCGCCAGGGAUGGAGCACAGGGGGCUGGGAGGUGUUCCCUACGCUGCUCUUCCACGGAAAGCUCAAAAUCCUUCAACAAAGGAAGUAUGCACAAUCUGGAACAUUUUUCUCAUGCAAGUUUCAACUGCUGACACCAGAAAAAUGAUUCAUUCCACUGUCUGAUAAGCAACAAUAUAACUCACUUGGAAAGACUGAUAACUUCAGGGUGGCAGGACUACAUACAUCGCUCCUCCAGGACGGCUGUCAUCACGGUUUCAAAGGAGUACAUUCCCUCACCUGGACUGCCUGAUCAGAUCAGAAUACUUCAUUAGACAUUGGAACUUUUCGCAACAUAGGAAUGACAAAUUUGAAUUAGUUGUACUUGGAAGCAAGCCUUUGCACAGCCACUCGUCUCUCUUCCACAUCCACUCUACUGCGGACCAGAGGCUCAGGCUAUCUCAGUCCAUAUAGAAAUCUGACACUAAAUGCAGCCUGUAGGUUGCUCUAGUUUGAGGACAGCUAACCAUUUCCAUGGCUAUACAAAUUUUCAUGGCAUUAUGUUUCUCUUCUCCCUGCUGGAUGACAAGUUUGGCUUGCUGCGUUCUGCAGAGAAGGUGUUAGCAACUCACCCUGAUCAUCCACCACCUCACCCACACCGACUUCUGGGGAGAAGCACAAAGAACUCUGCCCCUAUGAAAAAACCUGCAUAAAGAAGGCUGAGGUGGGCUUCAGCGCCUGAAGGCAGCGCAAGUUUUCUUUGUCUUAUUCCCCAAACCAGCACACAAUGCCAAAUACGAGGAGAUGGUGAGCCACCUCUGAUUCUCCACAGCUCUACAAAGCAGAGAAUGGUUACCUGCCAAGCCCGGGCUGUACCUUGGACACCACUCCUGCUGAGGCUUUCAGGGAUUGCUCCUCAUCCUCCCUGGGGUAUACCAUGGCUCUGGGCAUUUUUUGCUCCAGUUCUCCUGUAAAACACACAACUUAAUAGACUUAAUACCUAUAACUAAUUUCAAUACAUUUUUUUUACUACUUAAGUGUUUUUUGUUGUGUUUACAGGCCAUGGAAGAGUUUCUUUGUUUUAAAUGUUAUUAUACUUCUCUACAAAAAACAUGCCCAUUGAUAAUAUCUACAGCAAACAUUUACAGAGCUAACAAACUCGGGAUAAUAUUGUCAUUCUACCCAGAAAGU